rnacentral:rRNA from 1 species
CAGUCGCCACGGGAAUACGAAGGGUGCAAGCGUUACUCGGAAUUACUGGGCGUAAAGCGUGCGUAGGUGGUGGUUUAAGUCCGUUGUGAAAGCCCUGGGCUCAACCUGGGAAUUGCAGUGGAUACUGGGUCACUAGAGUGUGGUAGAGGAUAGUGGAAUUUCCGGUGUAGCAGUGAAAUGCGUAGAGAUCGGAAGGAACAUCUGUAGCGAAGGCGACUAUCUGGGCCAACACUGACACUGAGGCACGAAAGCGUGGGGAGCAAACAGGAUUAGAUACCCCAGUAGUCCCUGUCUCUUAUAA